UACGAAGGGUGCAAGCGUUACUCGGAAUUACUGGGCGUAAAGCGUGCGUAGGUGGUUUGUUAAGUCUGAUGUGAAAGCCCUGGGCUCAACCUGGGAACGGCAUUGGAAACUGGCUUACUAGAGUGCGGUAGAGGGGUGUGGAAUUCCCGGUGUAGCAGUGAAAUGCGUAGAUAUCUGGAGGAACACCGGUGGCGAAGGCGGCAUCCUGGACCGAGAUUGACGCUGAGGCGCGAAAGCUAGGGUAGCAAACGGG
rnacentral:rRNA from 1 species